rnacentral:rRNA from 1 species
GUUUGAUCCUGGCUCAGGAUAAACGCUGGCGGCGUGCCUUAUGCAUGCAAGUCGAACGCGGCUAGGACUUCGGUCCGAAACCGAGUGGCGGACGGGUGAGUAACACGUACGUGACCUGUCCGGAAGUGGGGAAUAACCAGCCGAAAGGUUGGCUAAUACCGGUUACCCCUUGGAAGGGGCAAACCAAAGUCGCAAGACGCUUCCGGAGGGGCGUGCGGCCGAUUAGCUAGUUGGUGUGGUAACGGCGCACCAAGGCGAUGAUCGGUAGCUGGUCUGAGAGGAUGGUCAGCCACACUGGGACUGAGACACGGCCCAGACUCCUACGGGAGGCAGCAGCAGGGAAUAUUGCGCAAUGGGCGAAAGCCUGACGCAGCGACGCCGCGUGGGGGAUGAAGGCCUUCGGGUUGUAAACCCCUUUCAGCAGGGACGAAGCGAAAGUGACGGUACCUGCAGAAGAAGCGCCGGCUAACUACGUGCCAGCAGCCGCGGUAAU